AUACACAGGUUAUAACAGCUCCAGACAUUAUACUGCUCCCUGAUGGAAUACACAGACUGGGUUAUAACAGACAUUAUACUGCUCCCUGAUGGAAUACACAGGUUAUAACAGACAUUAUACUGCUCCCUGAUGGAAUACACAGGUUAUAACAGCUCCAGACAUUAUACUGGCUCCCUGAUGGAAUACACAGGUUAUAACAGCUCCAGACAUUAUACUGCUCCCUGAUGGAAUACACAGGUUAUAACAGCUCCAGACAUUAUACUGCUCCCUGAUGGAAUACACAGGUUAUAACAGCUCCAGACAUUAUACUGCUCCCUGAUGGAAUACACAGGUUAUAACAGCUCCAGACAUUAUACUGCUCCCUGAUGGAAUACACAGGUUAUAACAGCUCCAGACAUUAUACUGCUCCCUGAUGGAAUACACAGGUUAUAACAGCUCCAGACAUUAUACUGCUCCCUGAUGGAAUACACAGACUGGGUUAUAACAGACAUUAUACUGCUCCCUGAUGGAAUACACAGGUUAUAACAGCUCCAGACAUUAUACUGCUCCCUGAUGGAAUACACAGGUUAUAACAGCUCCAGACAUUAUACUGCUCCCUGAUGGAAUACACAGGUUAUAACAGCUCCAGACAUUAUACUGCUCCCUGAUGGAAUACACAGGUUAUAACAGCUCCAGACAUUAUACUGCUCCCUGAUGGAAUACACAGGUUAUAACAGCUCCA